GCAGCCCUGAACCAUGGCAGAUGGAUUUUAACUGGAUGUCUGUGAAGAAUCGCCUUUAAACUGAAAACUCAACUCAAGGGGCAAUGGCUCUCAGUUCUGGAGUCAAGGACAAAUCAACAUGUCUCAAGAACUUAGAGGAACUGUGUAAAAUCAGGUUUUGCUCAUAAGGGACUGUCCAAGCACAAGAAUGAGAAUAGUUUCCUUUAAUUACAUUCCUGGUACAUUAGAGCCAGGUCAAAAUUCUUACCAUUUCACAGCCAUUUAUAAACUAAUUGUGUCAGCCAGCUUUUUAUUACUACAACAAAGAGCCACUUAAAAGGAAGAAAGGCGCACGUAGGCUCCCAGUCUCAGAGACUCCAGUUCAUGACUGCUUAGCCAUGUGAUUCUAUGAGGCAGUAUAUAAUCCCAUGCAGGGGUCUCACGGUGGAGGAAAUCUCACCUCACAGUUGCUGGAAAGGGCAGAAGGACUAGGGUAUUCCAGAGUCUCUUUUGAGAGUAUGUCCACAGUAAACGGGCAGCUCCACUCCACCCUACUGCUUCAAGGUUCGACCAUUUUCUAGGAUCACAAAGCUGAGGACCAAGCUUUUAAUAUGCAGGCCCUGGAGAACAAUUCAGAUCCGAAUUUGUUCCAAAGACAGACUUACAGCCAGUCAGUGAAAUUGCUGGUUAUCCAUAUACACCCAAGAGCCAACUUACACCCAUUGGCUUGAUGACCAUGAUGUCAAGUUUCUUUGUCAACUUGCCUGGAUUUGGAGUGACCUAGCUGACACAUGUCCUGGUUUAUCUGAGACUGUUUGCAGAGAUUCUUAAAUGAGGAUGGGAGACCCACUCUGAGUGCGAGCGGAACUAUCACAUGACCAGAGUGCCAGACUGAGUAAAAGGAAAAGAGCGGGGAUAGUGACUGGGCCCGAGCACACAUCCCUCUCUGCUUCCUGACUGCAGAUGCCGUGUGAUCAACUGCCUAGUUCCCACACCUUCCCUGCCAGCACGGACUGUAUAUAUCCACAAACUAUGAGCUCUUGCUUCAUGUUGGGCAUUUGCCACAGGGAUAAGAGAGUAGUAAGGAAUACAGCAACUAGUGAACAACAACAAAGCAAAACAGAAAAUUACGUCAAAGCUAUGGAUAAACUGGAGUGCCUGCAUGACACUGGUGGAAAUCCAAAAAUGUGUAGAUGUCGUGGUAAACAGUAUGGAGAUUACUCACAAGAGGAAAGUAUAAUUACCCAUGAUCAUGCAGUUCCAUUUCUUGGAAUAUAACCAAAAGACUGGAAAGUGAGGUCCUGAAGAGACACUUCCACACCUGUGCUUAUAAAGGGACCCAAAUAUCUCUAUAUUAAAGAAAUAGUUAAUACCUGGUUCCACACCAAUGAGCCUUGAGCCUUGAGAAUAUGACGCUGAGUGAAACAAACCAGUCACAAAAACUCAACUUUCAACGAGAGUCAUCACUGAGAACGUGCAGUCCAUGGUGAUGGAGUGAUUGAUGGGAGUUAGAAGGAAUGGGUAGUGUUUAGUGACUACAGAAUUUCAGUUUUGCAAGACGAAGACAGCUCUGGAGGUGGGUUACACAACAAUGCCCAUGAAUGAAGCACUGUCGUGGAGACAGCG
rnacentral:lncRNA from 1 species